CAGCCAAGGAUGACUUGCCUA
rnacentral:miRNA from 1 species